rnacentral:rRNA from 1 species
UACGAGGGGGGCAAGCGUUGUUCGGAAUUAUUGGGCGUAAAGGGCGCGUAGGCGGUGCGGUAAGUCACCUGUGAAAACUCUGGGCUCAACUCAGAGCCUGCAGGCGAAACUGCCGUGCUGGAGUGUGGGAGAGGUGCGUGGAAUUCCCGGUGUAGCGGUGAAAUGCGUAGAUAUCAGGAGGAACACCGGUGGCGAAGGCGGGUCUCUGGGCAACAACUGACGCUGAGGAGCGAAAGCGUGGGGAGCGAACAGG